rnacentral:rRNA from 1 species
CCUGGUGAAAUUAGCGCUGUGGAACCACCCGAUCCCAUCCCGAACUCGGAAGUGAAACGCAGCUGCGCCGAUGGUAGUGUGGCUCAAGCCAUG